CUCUAUAUAAAUUAAGUACAUCUUUAUUUUCCUUUCCUCGUUUCCACGGCCAUGUGCGAACAGAACUUCUUUUCUUUUCCAUAAUGUAUAUUUUCAGAAAGUUUAGAAUUUGAAAACAAGGUACUUAUAUUUCAUCCAAUAUAUUAAUAUCCUGUGUUGUGAAUUCAAUUGAAAUUGCACAUUUUUGAAUAUAUUUAGAAAAUACUUACGGUUAAGAACAAAGCUUUUGGUGUUGGGCAAUAUAACUGAGACUAAGAACGUACAUUGUUAACAGAAUAUUGUAUUAGAAAGGUUAAUAUCAAUAUUCAUCAAUUCUGUUGGAAAGAUUUACUUUAAGAAGUAGGUGAUGGAAGCUGUUUUCCACUCUAGUGAUUGUAGUAAGGUAUAGUUAUGAAAAAAA